UGUCCAUCCCUCAGACAGUGCACACCCCACCCAUUAGGUUUGUCCAGGUGACUUGCAUUGGCCACUAGAAUCAAGAGAAUGUAAUACGCACCCAUCCGGGUAGAGGAUGCUACUGCGUGGUUCAGCUUAAAGGAGCUACUCUAUGGUCCUGGCUCCCAGAAUGAGAAAACACUUGGAGAGGAGCCAAGCAGAGUCAGAGUCAACCCGAAGCAGACCUCAAGCUCACAUGUAACAUGAGUGAGAAAUAAAUGCUUGCUGUUGUAAGCCA